ACUUCAUUUCAUUCUCAGAAUCAAGCACAACAGCUGCCACUGCAUCGACUACGUCCGCCACUAGCAGCGAAACAACAGAACCAAGCAUAACAACUGCCACUGCACCGACUACGUCCGCCACCAGCAGCAAAACAACAGAACCAAGCACAACAACUG